UAUUUUAGUGGCUGGGAUUCCAUCGUGCAGUCAUCGGGUGUGGACGCGUUUUCAGUCGCUCCGCAUAUAUUUUCGUUCAGGAUCGCUUGAUUUAGUUUAACGUGACCAAACGUGUUUGAUUCUCCACGCGUUAUCUUUUAACAACAUUUAAAUUAUAGUCAUAUAUAGUGUGUAAUUGUAAUCUCGUCGCUUUUUUAGCAGUCCAGUAGAAUACACUUGUUUUACCUGAAUAAUAGAACCGAAAAAAUGGUAGUGAAAAUUGAUUGUUCGGCGAAGAAAAGUGUUUUGUGUGUAAAUAGUUUUGCUUUCAUUCGUCUAAAUCACGUUCUCAAGUGUUCAUUGCGUCGCGUGUGAUAUGUGGAAUAGAUCUCUGAAGCUAUACAGAAAUGUAGCUUAGUGGUAAAGUGUGCGCGAGUGUAUUUUUAUUAGAGAUGGGCAAACCGUUCAUGAACUGAUCAAAAGAACGAGUUCACCCAAAAGAGUGAACGAAAUGACGUUCCUUCACAUCAAACAGGCUCAAAACAAAAGAAUUCUGAUACUGGAAAUACGUUGUCUAGCAAUGAAAGCACGUCUGUUGUCGAUGAAUUGAAAGGUGAUUGCAUCCAGAAAUCUUUAGACGAUAUCUCACAAAAUUCAGCCAUUCGAAAUGACGUUCCUUCACAACAAACAGGCUUAAAACAAAAGAAUUCUGAUACUGGAAAUACGUUGUCUACGUUGCAAUGAAAGCACGUCUGUUGUCGAUGAAUUGAAAGGUGAUUGCAUCCAGAAAUCUUUAGACGAUAUCUCACAAAAUUCAGCCAUUCGAAAUGACGUUCCUUCACAACAAACAGGCUUAAAACAAAAGAAUUCUGAUACUGGAAAUACGUUGUCUGGCAAUGAAAGCACGUCUGUUGUCGAUGAAUUGAAAGGUAUGUACAAUAGAACAAU